rfam:Minicystis rosea strain DSM 24000, complete genome.
GGAGGAGUGGCCGAGCGGUCGAAGGCAGCGGUUUUGAAAACCGCCGUACGGGCAACUGUACCAGGGGUUCGAAUCCCUUCUCCUCCG